rnacentral:rRNA from 1 species
GAUGAACGCUGGCGGCGUGCCUAAUACAUGCAAGUCGAGCGAACAGACGAGGAGCUUGCUCCUCUGACGUUAGCGGCGGACGGGUGAGUAACACGUGGAUAACCUACCUAUAAGACUGGGAUAACUUCGGGAAACCGGAGCUAAUACCGGAUAAUAUAUUGAACCGCAUGGUUCAAUAGUGAAAGACGGUUUUGCUGUCACUUAUAGAUGGAUCCGCGCCGCAUUAGCUAGUUGGUAAGGUAACGGCUUACCAAGGCGACGAUGCGUAGCCGACCUGAGAGGGUGAUCGGCGACACUGGAACUGAGACACGGUCCAGACUCCUACGGGAGGCAGCAGUAGGGAAUCUUCCGCAAUGGGCGAAAGCCUGACGGAGCAACGCCGCGUGAGUGAUGAAGGUCUUCGGAUCGUAAAACUCUGUUAUUAGGGAAGAACAAAUGUGUAAGUAACUAUGCACGUCUUGACGGUACCUAAUCAGAAAGCCACGGCUAACUACGUG